rnacentral:rRNA from 1 species
AAUUAUUAAUUUACUUUUUAUUUUAUUUUUUAUUUUAAUAGAAAUAACUUCUUUUUCAGUAGGUUUUAUUGAACAAAUUUUUUUAGUUGUAGUGGAUAUGUACUGUUAGGGGGUAUUUAUUAAUUAAUUAAAAGGAGAUUUAAUUUUUUGUACCUUUUGUAUCAGGGAUAAUUAAUUAUUUUUAUUUAUUUAAGUUUCUCGAAAUUAGGGGAGAUAUAAUUACAUGUUAGUUAAUGUUUCAUAAUUAUUAAUAAUCUAAUUAUAGUAAUGAUAAGUUAUUCGUUCUUAAAUAUCUAGUUUCUUAGGAUUUGAAUUUAAUUCAGAAUUAUUAAUUUUUGAUUUUAAUUUAAUUAAAUUAAAAUUAGUAAUUUAAGAUCUUUGGGGAUAAGCUCGGGGAUUGUUUUAUAAUUUUUUAUUUUGUGGAUUUUUUGUAGGCUUGGAAUCAGCCAUCAUAAAUUUCGUUAUAGAAUAUUUUCUUGAUUUUUAAUUUGGUGUAAUUUAAUUUUUUAUUAAGAUGUUUUAUUUAAUUUUUUAUUGUUAGUAAUAAUGAUUGUAUUAGUAUAUUUGUAUUUAAAAUAUAGGAACUCGGCAAAAUUUAUGCUCGCCUGUUUAACAAAAACAUGUCUUUUAGCAUUAUUUAUUUAAGGUUUGACCUGCCCAAUGAAUAUUUUAAUGGCCGCGGUAUAUUAACCGUGCUAAGGUAGCAUAAUCACUUGUCUUUUAAUUAAGGGCUUGUAUGAAGGGUCGGACGAGGUAUAAUCUUUCUUUAUUUUAGUUUUAGAAUUUAUUUUUUUAGUUAAAAGACUAAAAUUUUCCUGUGGGACGAGAAGACCCUAUAGAUCUUUAUAGAAUGUAAUGUUUAAUUUGUUUGGUUAUUUUUAAUUUAAUAUUAUUUGUUUAUUUAAUUGGGGUGAUUGCAGAAAUUUAGCAACUUCUGUUUAUUUUAUUCGUUGAUUUGCGUUUAUAUGAUCCAUUAUUAAUGAUUAUAAGAUUAAGUUACCUUAGGGAUAACAGCGUAAUCUUUUCAGAGAGUUCAUAUCGAUGAAGGGGUUUGCGACCUCGAUGUUGGAUUAAAAUAAGCGUUAGGUGCAGCAAUUUAAUAGCUAGGUCUGUUCGACCUUUAAUUUUUUACAUGAUCUGAGUUCAGACCGGCGUGAGCCAGGUCAGUUUCUAUCUUCAGGAGGGAAAUUAUGUUUUAGUACGAAAGGACCUAGCAUAAGGAAUAAUUUUUGUUUAAUUGAUUAAUAUU